rnacentral:pre_miRNA from 1 species
AACAUACUCCCUCCGUUCGGAAUUACUUGUCUCGGAAAUGGAUGUAUCUAGAAUUAAAAUACAUCUAGAUACAUCCAUUUCUGCGACAAGUAAUUCCGAACGGAGGGAGUACAUC